rnacentral:rRNA from 1 species
AGCCAUCCUUUAAAGAAAGCGUAAUAGCUCACUCGUCGAGAAGCCCGGUGCCGACAAUCCAACGGGGCUCAAGCAUGUCACCGAAGUUAUGGAUGUUCAUCGCAAGAUGAACGUGGUAGGAGAGCGUUCUCACAGCAGUGAAGGUCGAUCGUAAGGACGACUGGAGUGGUGAGAAGAGACUCUGCCAGCAUAAGUAGCGAAAAACAAGGUGAGAACCCUUGUCGCCGUAAGUCUAAGGUUUCCUGAUAAAGGUUAAUCCGAUCAGGGUUAGUCGGAGCCUAAGGUGAGGCCGAGAGGCGUAGCUGAUGGACACACGGUUAAUAUUCCGUGACCUCCUAAGGAGAUAUCGAUGCGGGGACGCAGCGCGAAAGCCCUUCUGCGCAAUGGUUUCAAAGAAGGGGCAAGCGAGGACCGGAUAGGCAAAUCCGCCGGUUCGUCUGCCAGGAAAAGCCGCUAAGAGCCAAAGGAGUCCGUACCACAAACCGACACAGGUAGACGUGAUGAGUAUUCUCAGGCGCUCGGGUGAUUAGUUGUUAAGGAACUAGGCAAAUUAACCCCGUAACUUCGGGAGAAGGG